rnacentral:rRNA from 1 species
UACGUAGGGGGCAAGCGUUGUCCGGAUUUAUUGGGCGUAAAGAGCGUGUAGGCGGCUUGGUAGGUCCGCUGUGAAAACUCGAGGCUCAACCUCGAGAUGUCGGCGGAAACCACUUGGCUAGAGUCCGGAAGAGGAGAGUGGAAUUCCUGGUGUAGCGGUGAAAUGCGCAGAUAUCAGGAAGAACACCUAUGGCGAAGGCAGCACUCUGGGACGGUACUGACGCUGAGACGUGAAAGCGUGGGGAGCGAACAGG